AAGAGGCUGCUGAAGAAGAACAAUGGAAGCAUUAAAGGCGUGGUGAUGGAUCUUCUCACUGGGGAGAAGGAGAAGGAGGCUUAGUGUGGCGUUCGAUUCUGGGAGAACUUUUAUCUAUAUCAGGACAAAGGUUAUGUUUUAUAAAUAAUAAAAACCUGAUGAUGAUGUAGUGUGGUUUCGAACUUUGGUGUGUUCCUUUGCUUCUUUCUUUCGUGUUGGAUGUGGAUGAUAUGAUGUUACUACUAAUCUUAAAUAAGUAUAAGACUUUAUUUAUGCUAUCAUCAAUCUUCUUAUUUUGAAUGCAACCGUGUCUUUGUUAUCGAUUUCAUUCACUUGACCGCCCUCUCCUCCAUGUCCAGUUGAUUACAUUUUUGCUUUUGAUUCUUACAUGCAAUUUAUAUUAUUCCUGAACGUAGUGAUUCAUUCACCUGCACGACUUUAUCUUUAUGAAAAAACUGCUGGCAACCAAAUGAGUAAAUUGAAGAUAAUCAAUAUGGAAUUCACUUUCUUUUCUACGUUUACAAGUUUGAAGGAGUAAGUAAUUGCAUCUUGACUUUGUUUAAAAUCUCCUGGACGAACGAUUAAACAAACUCCUAAGGCUAUUUCUGCUGUCCCUAUUUUUCUUCUUGAUGGCCUUAUCCGCAGAGAAAGUAUGCUCUUCCAAAGUGAGUGCCCGUUCCAGUUUCUUAGAUACAGAAAGAAUCUCGUACGGAUCCCACAAGGACUGUCCAUACUCCCAAUCCAAGAACGAAGGAUGAUGAUGGUGAUGCUUCUUUGUACUGGACAAGGCCUCCAUUUUGAAACGUGAAGGUUUACCUUUGACAAAAGCAUGCUUUCUCCGCGCUUCGAACUCCAAAACUGUGCUUUUAGAGGUUUGGGAGUGGCUGAGCCAAGCCUGUGCUGCUGCUUUCAUCAGCUCCACUCUCUUCUUCUCUUCUUCGUUUUCAUCUUUAGCCUCUCGUUUCUUCCUCAUCUGUUUCCUUCUCCAUUUGGGAGGGGACUUUUGGGGCUCUAAGCUAUUAUUAUGGACCCAAUUUUAUGUCAGCUUUAAAUGGCAGCCUUAUGUUUCUUGUCCGAAUCUGCUAACUUCUGUCCGUCUCAUCCUUUUCCAUUUAUUUCUUUUUAAUUUUUUCAAUACAUUUGUUGUAUAAUAAAAGGUGGGAGAUGACUUAGAAUGUAAUAAAAAGAUGAAAAGUAUUUUAGAGUGAAAAUAACUCAGGGAAAAAUGCCAAUUUCGAUCCCAACUAUUUCAGUCGUGCCAAAUACGACCCGAACAAUUGAUCAGUGCCAAAUACGACAUCAACUCAAUUAUAAUUCAAAAAAACUACCAGAACUUCUUAAAACGUGCCUAAAUCUACAUUGACUCUAACAGAAGUUAGUCAACCGUUAAAAAAUAAAACGAUGUCGUUUUGAUAUACGAGGAAAAGUGUCAAUUUCGACCCAAACACUCUCAGUCGUGCCAAAUAAGACCCGAACAAAUGGUCAGUGCCAAAAACGACCUCAACUCAAUUAUAUUUUAAGAAAAAUUACCCAAUUUUUUUAAAACGUGUUUAAAUCUACAUUAACUCUAACAGAAGUUAAUCAACCUUUAACAAAGAUAAGACGACGUUGUUUUGAUAUAUGUAUUUUCUUAAAAAAAUAUGUUCAUUUUGGGAUUCAAAUCCGUGCUGGGAUAUCCUUUUAAAGGGGCACACUAACAACUAGACUAAAAUAAUUUUUUGAAAUAUUAUUACAAAUUGAAAUUCUCCAUUAUAUAAACUACUAUUCUUCUUCAUCUUAUCCAAUUUAAAACUUUGGUGAUUGCUUUAUACAUUUUAGUUAUUGUUUAAUUUGUCUAAUAUUUUGUACAACAUAUCUUAGUGAAAGAAAGGUAAAAGGCCUCUUAACAUUUUUGAACAAAAUAUCAAAAUAUAUAAUAUCAACUUUGAAAACUAAAAAAAUUCCCACUUAAUUUUAAAAAUUAAAAAUAAUUUAUAUAAGAAAAUUGUAUAAAUAAAUUCAAAGUUGUAAGCAUAUUUAAGAUCGUAUAAUAAUAAAUAUUUUAUUAUUUAUAUUUUAGUAAGAUAUAAUUUUAUUAAAGAUAUGAUAAAUAAGAAAAACACGUUAAUGUAUUUAUAUAAAUCAGAAAAAAUUGUCACCAAAAUUUUAAAUUGGAUAAGAUGAAGAAUAAUAAUAGUUUAUAUAAUUUCAAAUUUGUAAUAGUAUUUUAUCUAUUAUCUUCUAGAAGCACAAACCCUAAGAAAUAUUUAAAAAAUGUAUUUAUUUUACCCAAAUUCAUAUUUUUUCUCCCAUAUGGUGCUUAAUCGUGAUCCCUAAUCUUGUUUUGUUCUUUUAAUUUGUUUAUUUGCAUGUUGUUUGAUUCAUUUUAAGUGAGCUUUGUGUUCAUUGCAGGUGAGUUAUGGAGGUGUGCUUAGGCGCUUCAGGGUGCCUUUCAAAGCUAAUGGACAGCUUGAUCUUGACAUGGCUUCUCUUAGGGGAAAGAUUGCUGCUUUGUUUAACCUCCCUCUGGAUGCUGAGUUCUCUCUCACUUACUCUGAUGAAGAUGGGGAUGUGGUGGCCCUUGUUGAUGACAACGACCUCUUCGAUGUCACGAAUCAGCGUCUUAAGUUCUUGAAGAUUACUGUGCAGUCGAACGCUGGUGUGCCGACCAACUCUGUUGCUCCAGAGAGCAGUGGGAGUUCGUCAGCCUCGGUUAUGCCUGAUAGCCAGGACCCGGUUUCUAAGAUCCAGAAGGGUUUCAAUGAUGUUAUGAUGGCUGUGCCGAACCACAUGCGUGAUACCAUUUCCAAGGUGUAUAUUGACCUUACAUCUAAGGCGGCGUCUUCGAGCCCUGUGGUUGGUGAGCUGUUUGAUUGCAUCAACAAGCUAGGGAAGCUCUCAAGCCCUCAGGAAAGUAGUCCUUGCUCUCCUGUUACUAAGCCUGGCUCGUCAGGGCCUUCUUUGAGCAGGGAGGUUCCUUCCGCUGGUGAAAAGAAGGAUGUAUCUAAGAAGACCCAAGCUGGAAAAAAACCUGUUGCUGAUUCAACCUCCUCUGGACUUGGUGCUAGUUUCAACGAGUGUCCCUUCAGUGGCAGUACCGUGAUUGAUUCCACUCCAAAUCCAAAUCCAACGAAUCUCAACAGGCAUGCCCGUCGUGUAUGUCACUCCAAAAAGACCAACAAUGGUGAUUACUGGAACUCACUGGGUGUCUUCCAUAAGGGUAUCCGUUGUGAUGGAUGUGGAGUUCUUCCAAUAACUGGGCCUAGAUUCAAGUCUAAAGUGUAAGGAGAUCUCUUACUUGCAAAUGUAGAAACUGCAGAUACAUCUUUCGAGUUUAUUAUGCUUACUUGUUUCUCUGGUGAAUAUUUUGCAGCAAAGAAGACUAUGAUCUUUGCACCAUCUGUUUUUCCGUGAUGGGCAAUGAAGGGGAUUAUACAAGAAUGGAUAAGCCCGUCUCAGCUCAACAGCUACAUCCCUUCAGAGGACUUCCUACCCCAGUAUUACUCUUUUUCUGUGUUUAAGUUUCCUUUUCUUCUAUACCUUUUCUUUCUGUAUUUACAGCUAUAUGGAGAUCUUACGUUUCUUCCUUUCUUUCAUAUAGUUUUCAAAUCCUUGGUUGGGACAUGUGCCGCGACCACACCACGGAGGUUUACAUUUCAGGUGUACUCGGCCUAAGCUAGACAGUCGCUUUGUCCUUGAUGUCAAUGUACUUGAUGGAACCGUUGUUGCUCCAUCUGCCCCAUUCACCAAGAUCUGGAAAAUGAGGAACAAUGGUUCGCUGGUGUGGCCACAUGGCACGCAGAUCGUUUGGAUCGGUGGGGACAGAUUCAGCAGCUCUUUGUCAGUUGAUUUACAGGUUAGAAACUAUAUCCUUAGUUUUGCCAUUUAUUUUGCUUGAUACCUACCCUGAAGUUCCACUUACAGAUCAAUCAUGAUGUUUGAAGUUGCUCUUAGUGGCUUGAGUUAGCUUCUUCUCUACAGAAAGUGGCAAUAGUUUCUUUAUAUAUAUAUACAACACUAAUUUUUUAUUGGUGUCAGCAGAUUCCAGUGGAGGGUGUGCCUAUCAACAGUGAGCUUGACGUGAAAGUUGAAUUUGUUGCACCAGAGUCACCUGGCCGAUACAUAUCUUAUUGGAGGAUGGCUUCCUCUAAUGGUGCCAAGUUUGGGCAACGUGUUUGGGUGUUGAUACAUGUACUGGCUAGAUCUCUGCUGCCAUUUUCCUGGAAUUUUGUUUUUCUCAAUCAUCUGAUUUUUUUUUUUUUGCUGGUUGCGUGGUCAGGUUGAUGCAUCCUUGAAGGGCUCUGUUGUGAACGAGUUUCAUGGACUGAACUUGAAUGCCUCUCCUGAAGAAAAUUUCGCAAGAGAAUUUUCAGGGAUCAAUGUGAAUCAUGUUCCAGCUCAGCCUGGUAGCCCCAGUGUUAACCCUGGGAUAGUGAAAGGUGCUGAUGUUGAACCAGAAGCUUCUUCGGGAUCAAACAUUCCGAUGAAAGAUGACCUGGUGGUUGGUGAAGUUGAGCCUGUUGUUCCUAACACUGUUGUGCCUAACACUCUUACUCCAUCUUCAUCUUCGUCAUCAUUCAACAUAAUCGAGUUCCCAAAUAUGCCUACUACUGUUGAGGCCUUGGGUGGCGGUUCCUCAUCUGCAAAGAACAUCCCCGUUCCUCUACAAGAGGAUAUUGAGAAGAAUGACGUCGAGAUAACCAUGCUCAAGGAGCUGGAGGAGAUGGGUUUCAAAGAGAUUGAUCUGAACAAGGAAAUCCUGAGGGACAACGAGUACAACUUGGAGCAGUCUGUUGACGCUCUCUGUGGAGUUAAAGAGUGGGAUCCUAUCCUAGAGGAGCUUCAGGAAAUGGUAAGUGUGAAUUGAAGAUUGGAAAACCAGAUUGAGAGGGAUGUUUGACAAUGUGAUAAUUUCUGCAGGGGUUCUGUGAUGAUCUGACGAACAAGAGGCUGCUGAAGAAGAACAAUGGAAGCAUUAAAGGCGUGGUGAUGGAUCUUCUCACUGGGGAGAAGGAGAAGGAGGCUUAGUGUGGCGUUCGAUUCUGGGAGAACUUUUAUCUAUAUCAGGACAAAGGUUAUGUUUUAUAAAUAAUAAAAACCUGAUGAUGAUGUAGUGUGGUUUCGAACUUUGGUGUGUUCCUUUGCUUCUUUCUUUCGUGUUGGAUGUGGAUGAUAUGAUGUUACUACUAAUCUUAAAUAAGUAUAAGACUUUAUUUAUGCUAUC
rnacentral:lncRNA from 1 species